CCUACACUUGUUAUUUAUCUAAUCCCGACCCGACUGUCCUUUCAUCUCUCAAUCGUUUCAAGUCCCGUUUCUCUCAGCUCGCUCUCUCUCUCUCAGCUCUCAGCGUUUGAUGAUUUUGAUGGAAUCUUAGCUAAUUCGAGUAGGGAGAGCUUUUCUCAUCUCAAAGACCCUGCGAUGUUCACCAACGACAAGCGGCAGGUGGAGCGAACUGGGAGAUCCGGUACUCCCCGGGCCCAAUAUCUUCAGGAACUUGUGACGGAGUUUCAGAAGACCACCAGUGAAGAACAGAAGGAGAAAAUUGUUUCUCAUUUGGCUAAUUUUGCAUAUGACCCUUACAAUUAUGCAUUUCUACGCCAGCUUAAUAUUUUGGAGCUAUUCUUGGACUGUAUAACUGAACCAAAUGAAAGACUUAUUGAAUUUGGGGCUGGUGGGAUAUGCAACUCAUGUGUAGACCCAGAGAAUGCUGCAGUUAUAACUCAAUGUGGCGGAAUUCCUUUGAUCAUACAGUGUUUAUCUAGCCCAGUCAGGAACACGGUUAAUUAUGCUCUGGGAGCUCUCUAUUACCUUUGUAAUUCUUCUACUAAAAAAGAAAUAUUGAAGCCUGAGGUCGUUGAUGUCAUAAGAAAAUAUGCUGCAGCUGGAGCUGUUAAUGUGAGCUUCAGCAAUCUGGCUAAUGCAUUUCUGGACAUGCACGUAAAUUAACAGAAAUGAUGGCAAUCUAAAACAAGGCUGCACUACGGAUCUUUUGCUUCUCUUGGGCUGAGACGAAGAACAAAUGAAAUGAAAAGAGCGGAUGGAAUUUUGGGCAUUUUGUUGCCAAGACGCGAUAGGUAUUAUCUAUAUCUGUUUUGGGGAACUACGUGUUUGAAGGAAUGUCUGACCGAAGGAAAUUGUUUGUUGAAGAGGUGAAGCUAUCCUAUGUAAUUCUGUCCAUGGGGACUAGGUGUUUGAAGAAAUGUCUUAAAGCCUGAAGUUAUUUGUUGUAAUAUGUAGUUGAAAUAUGUAUUAUGUUUAUGUUUUAUUUUAUUUUUAAUUUUUGUAGUUUGAUCAGAUUCUUGACCUUGUGUGCUCAAAAGUUCCUCUAAAGAAGGCUUUUUGAACAUC